GCCAGCCCAUUGUGAUGCGUUCAGGAACACCUCGGGAAAUCCCAUCGUGACUUCAUUACAGUCAUUUUGCUGACGCCUUGGUCCACAGCGACUCACAAUACUUGGUUACACGUCAGCAGGUCGGCAGGUAGCAUCAAGCGCCCACACUUUAUUUUUUUUUAAAUUUAGCCCGAAUCCUCACCGGGAAUCCAAACCCAUGUGCUUCUUGUACCAAAGCCAGCAGUCUAAACAAUCAUUUGGGUCGGGAACAAAAAUAAAAUAAAAAAUAAACUGUAUUGGUGCAAAGUAACUUAGUAUGCUUACUCAAUUACACAAUUGAAAUUUGAGUUAGUCGAGUAUGUUUGAUAUGUCAUAGUAUACGUCUACUCCACUGAAACUGUCCAGGAACACAGGACACACUGAAGACGCUCGAGCGCGUCUCUUCCUCUUCCGGUUUCCGGCAGCGCCGAAAACUUUUGUUUGUUUAGGGCACGACGGAGCAAACAUGGCGGCGUACGGGGAAGUCGGGUCCAAGUCAAAUGAACUCAUUCAAAGUUGACGAAAACACAUCGGUUCUCUGUUGCAGCUGGGAGGCACAUGUGGACCCAGGGCCCCUCAGUGCAAGUCACGAAGCCGUUACGCCGCCCAGGUUGGAAUUAACACCGGACUGAGGUGAUGUCGAGAUUAGGCAUGUGCAAGUUGUGGCUAUUGUGGUACAGGUGUUCAAACUAUCGAACUUCAUGACGUAGAAAGGAUGCGUCACUGUGCACUUGCAUGAAUUUGCCUGCGGGAAGGGUAGGACAUUCAUUUGCAAAUAGAUUUCCUCGAUGUGCGUCACGAUGGAGGCACAUCUCUUCUGUUUUACGGCCCACGGAUCUUUAAAGACGUGAAUUGGGCCCAUUAUUGUCAGCGGCCUGGCAAUGCUCUGUCACCGUUUGCUGAAGUGGGUGUCAGGGAUUAGCAGCAUCUGGUUUCACGCACAUCCCAAAAUCUCUGCACAGCAGCAGCAGCAGAAAGGAAUUAUAGACGACAAGGUUUUUUUUUUUGUCUGUUUGCUUUCAUCUAUUACAUUUGCCAAGUGAAAUCACAGGAUGUCACUGUCAGAUAAAUUGUGACGGCAAAAUGUACCAAAGUCAGCUGCUUUCUCUUAAACCUGCGAAAUCGAAUUAAUAAGAAGUAACUUUGUCACCUGAUUUAUGUUUUCUUCUGCACAAAAUGCCCAUGAUCUCACAAAGGUCUUCAUGACUGAAGGCUUGGAUGAAAAAUGUGGUUUAAAGGAGAAUAAGUGUCCAAAUGUUUGUAUUUUUUGUUUUGUGAUAAUUUGUGAACAAAAAUCUUGACAAAACACCAAAUCACACAAUGUCGUCAUGUACUUCCUUUGGAACCUGAUGAUUACUGCCAAAUAGUUUUGAUUGGAACUAUUUCUAAUAGUGGAAAAAUGUGUAGGCAGAAGGUCUUAGUCACACGUGUGGUCACCAUUGCUCAUAAAGACGACAUAAUUUGAAUUAUAGAAAAACCACCUGAAGAAUACAUCUAUAUGCUUGCAUGGUCUGUGACCAUUAAAGCAAUUCCCCCCUCUGGUAAUAUUUUCCAUUCAUUUAAAAUUAUACAGAAAUCUUACAUUCACAGUUUCUAUUAGGUCAAAAUGAAAGGGCCAGUGAUGGAGUGGAGAGAAGGGAAACAGCAGCCGCACCUACAGUCUGCAUCCAUAAUGAAGAGAUGACCUAAUUCUCUACAAUGACAUCAUCCCUACCGAGUGGGCAAGGGUGACAUCAUCCUCUUGGUAUGUAGACCCCAUGUGAUGAAAUGUUUUGCGGUCCAAAGGAGAAAGCAAUGAAAUGAUUAUAAAAUUAAAACAUCAAAUUGAAAUUAAAAUUGAAUGUACUUGAAUUAAGUAUCAUAUACAAGUAUGCAUUUCAUUUUAUUUUAGUAUUAGUAUUUUACCUGAUGUUCUUAUUGUGUAAAUACAAUUUGAUGUGAAUUACUUCACCAUUAUUUAUGCAUCAUAUUUGGGAAUGAUUCAUUUGGCAUGUUCAAAUGCUGCUCACCAUAAAAACAGUCCUCUCUCUGUCGGAGCAUUGUUUUAGCUUUGUCAUUGUGACACCAGCACAUCAUUCCUUCUGGUUUUUUGUGAUUUGACCACAGAUUUACUGUAUAGUAUCAUCGCUGCAGCAGAUGAGUCAUGCGAUUUUACACUGCAUCAGUAUCACAGGUUUAAUCUUUACAACCAGCGGCCGCCCGACGUGCCCUGCAGAGCAACGCAGCUGUCCGCCUCAGACAGGGAAGCCGCUCAUGAAUAAUGAAUCAGAUUCUGCUGCUCCAGAGAACGAAAGGGGGGAAAAAAGGGGUUGCAUUCCAGGGAGAUGAUGUCAUGCUUGCAAACUGGUGGGGAUGAUGUCACUGAAGAGGACGAUGUCAUCUUUUGUCAUUUUCAAUUGCCUCUAUGAUUCCCCUGCCGUCACACACUUUCACAUGCAGAUUGAUUUUUUUUGAUCACUCAAGAAUGCAAUGUUAUCUGAUUUUAAAUAGAAAGCUGUUCUCAUCUCAUCCUCUUUUAACAGCUUAAUGCUUUUCUGUGGAAGAGAGGAAAUGAGGUGGGAAGUGGGGGCAGGUGCAGACGUAAUACGCCAUUGGCACAGGUUUCUCUGUAAAAAUACCAACAGAGAUUUGAUACAGCAUUUCCUUAAAGGUGGCAGACUUUUCCAGAGGCCGACAUAUCCUGUGUUACACUUCACAUAAUGCCACUCAGUUUCAAAACAGGCUUUCUGUUAUACAUUUUGUUAGAUGCCAAGAAUCAUCCAGGAUAAUCUUGAACCGAUGAUUAAUACUCCCUAUGGCAAUUAAAUUGAUUUUAUUUGUAACAAGAGUGCUGUGCCCCUUCAGAUUUCACAGUAUGUUGAUUGUGUUGUUGAAUAACUGGCAUUGUAAAAAUGUCCCAUCAUAUUUUAAGACAAAUUCCAUCUCCCUUUUGAUUCAUAGAUAGCAUAGCAAAUGCAAAAUGCGGUGGAAUAAACCAUUACAAACUGCUCUUAUUUGGCGAAAAUGAUCUCGUCCAUCAGGUAGCACAUACAGUACCCACCGUUAAGAUGGUAAAAAGCACUUUAGGCGCUUUACAGUACAAGUAACAUUCACCAAUUCAGACACACAGUCAUACAGUGCGUCAAUAUGCAGCACCUUUUUCUGGAGGAGCCGGGCAUCAAACCAUCAACCUUCGGGUUUAUGUACAACUGUCUCUACCUCCUGAGCCAUAGCCAUCCGCCCAGAUGAUGAGAAAAUGUCCACUGGCCUGCUGCUGUCUGAAAUCUUUUUAAAGUAGGUCGUUGUCCUGGGAGGUUACUGACCUUUGGGAAUACUGCAUGGAAGAGGCCAGUGAGGGAAGAAGGCCAAAGCGUUGAGCAAGUGGAUAAACAGUGAAGCAGCUUUAGUGAGGUGCUCUACAGGGCGAAAAUGUGAAUAUUUGUUUAACUUUUUUUUACUCUUAUUUAAUAGAUGAAGUCGAUUUUAUACUUUGUACUGUACGUUUAAAAUGGGACAUUUUCCAUUCUAGGAUGCGACGCCAAAACCCAGAACUGAAUAAAAAAAAUAACCUAAAAUAAAAAUACCCCACUCUC